rnacentral:lncRNA from 1 species
UGGGACUAAAUUUCCCUAGUUGCAAUUAGUGUUGCAAUUUUGCAAAGAAAAGCUACAUAUAUUAAGUUUAAAUUGUUGAUAGGUUAUGACUUUUAGCUUCAAGCCUUGUCUUCUAUGUAUUAGGUGAAUUUUCGAGGUGCAAAGAAGUACAAAGACAGCGGAGAAAAUGAAAAUCUGGAGAAGAUGAAAAGUUGAAUUCAAAAGUGCGGCAAGGAGAAUUAGGUUUUAACUAAAACUCAUUAGUAAAAGAUCGAUCUUCUACCAUGCACAUUACGUCGCGGUUCAAUAGAAACCAAAGCAUAAUAUUGUGCGGUGAUAUUUUUGAAAUUAUAUUGAAAGUAUAGGUAAAACCGCGGUAUAUUUCCUUUGGAAAAAUCUAACAUUCUCGCCAAGUUAGAUUUAAAAUAAAAUUGCAGGAGAAUAGACUACGGUUCCCCUCAGAACCGCGGUCUUUCCCCCUGCAAAAUUCUGACAUUCCCGCCA